GGAGAUUUAGGCUUAGAGGGUGUAUUGGUGGUCUCUCUUCUUCCUCUCCUCCUUAUUGCUAGCUAGCAUUUGAAAAGCAGUGAAAAAUGCUGUGGAUUAUAUGUGGAGAACAUGUAUAAAAAGGUCAAGAAAAAAUACAAAUAGAAUCCAGCGAAGACAGGGAAGAAGUCAAGGAUGAAUGGCAUGAAGGAAGAGUGGAAAGAAGGAAGGAAGGGAGGAAGAGAAAUUGACUGCAUGGACAGACCCUCAACUUCAACAGCUUUUCCAGUCUGGUGACGCUGAUCCCUUCUUUGUCUGCCGGGACAGAGGCUGCACACAGCAAUUGCCAAGCAUGAUCCACAUUUCAUUCAAAUAUGCAGGAAUGUGAGCUCAAAACCUCCUUCGCUAUUGAAGCACAUCUUCUGGCAUGUUCUUUCUUGAGUACAGAGCCAAGGUCAAAAAUACAAAAGAAAUCCCCUAUUUAUCACCAGCCACAGCAUUUCCUGAUUGAAUCAGCAUAUGGAAGACGCAAGAGCAAAUUUUGGGGCAGAGGAAGAAGCAGAGACUGCAAAGAACACAGCAAAGGAUAGCAGGCAAUAAGGGCAAGGCUGGGACCAAACAAGUAUUUGGUGGAGGAUCUAAUUCCAGGGCAAUUCAUGUGACAGAAAAUGUGGUUUGCAUUCAAAAGGUCCCAGGUUCCAUCUCCAUCCACACUGCAGAAUUAAAGCAGUUUGACACCACUCUCACUGCCAUGACUCUGCUCUACAGAAUCCUGGGAUUUGUAGCACUCUGACAGACCAGGCUGAAUACCUCACCAAACUGCAUAUCCCAUUAUUCUCUAGGAUAGUGUCAUGGUAGUUAAAGUGGUGUCAAACAGCUUUAAUUCUGCAGUAUGGAUACACCCUCUGCCAUCUCGAGGUGGGCUGGACAAAGCUCAUGUCUAAAAGCUUGGAAAGCUGAUGCCAGCAAAGAAAGUGGAUAUCAUCAUCCAAUUUAGGAACUUUUGGGGGAGUGGGUACUCAUAAGGGACUAUGUGUGGGCCUCAUCAACAUUGAGGUCACUGCACACUGUUAGGUAAGGUUUAAACAUUUUCCAGUAUCUCAUCUCCCCCCGGCCACAUAAAAUCAUCCUACCUGUGUACAUGGUGGGCCUAAUCUGAUUUAUCCCAUAUUUACUUUCUUAAUGAAGGACAGAAUCAUGAACUGCACUAUCUAUAUUUAAUAUAUUGUGAUUUUUAACCUUGAAUGAGGACAGUACAAAGUUAAAUGGACCAGAGAGUUAGCAAGUCAGCUGCCGCUACCAUCAUCUCCUUUUUCUUCAUUGAGCAAGGAGAAGCAAAGUUUGGGUGGAUUUGAGAUGAUAGGAGAGGUCAAAGCCGGUCCGUUCUAUGAUGUGGACUAAAUACUAUUGGAUUGCAACAUUCUGCACUUCUCAUCACUAGCUAUGCUGGCUUGGGCAAUGGGAACUGCAGCCCUACAACAUCUGGAGCAGACAUUGGAAGUAAUGAGUUACACAAAUGGAGUUAUUGCAAAUAUGUGCAAUGAGAGCAUAGUGAAGUUACUUUUCAACAGUAAUUAAUUGACUAACAAUACAUGUUACUUCUAAACAGUAAUUAUACACUUGGUAUAACAAGUAUUUUCUAGUUACUUCCAGAAAUUAUUUUUAAGGGCCUUUUAAGGCAUUCUAGAGGCAUUUUGACAGAUAUUUUGAAUGGUUUAUGCGUUUUUUUCAGUUCACUCAAUCAAUUCUAAUUUAACUUUAAUAGAAAAUAACAACACAUCAACAAGCAGUUCCACAAAUAAUAUACUGAGUUAAUUUCUCCACCAUUAUAUUGAACAACAGUGCAUUACUUCC